AAAAAAAUAACUGUUAUAUACGCCAUUUUACCCAAUUUGAUGUAUAAUAACCCAAAAAAGGAUAAUAAUCUAGGCGUUCACAACACUGAUCAUUAUAAAAAAUAACUAUUAUAACAUACAAAGAAGAUCGCCUGCAGUAGCGGUAGCAAAGCGAACGAACUAUCUGUGACCUGUCUUUUUUGAAUUCGAGAUGGCAGCGGACGAACUAAAAGAGCGACCUAGUUCGCCAAGGAGCUGCGAACUAAAAGGAGCGCUCCCGGUCGCGAACUAUUAUGCGCAAGUCUAUUGCUGUGGGACAGCCUAAGUUUCACCCCCAUAGAUCGACAUGCCCUUCGGGCUGGUUCGUACAUGUUCGGGUUUUUUUUAUUUGUACGUUCAAAACAAACAUUGCAUUAUUGAUCAAAAAAUUGUUGACUAAUGUUAUUUUAUAUUUUUUUAAGAGUAAAACACAUGUACACAAAUAUUUCCUUGUUACUAAUUAUGAGAUUUUCAGGUAGCGUGUGGAGAUUUCAUCUUAUGUUCAUGAGCGCACAACGUUUAAAAUCAUAAGAAAUGUUUUCUGGUGGUGUGUAGCAGUUAACCGCAUUUAAGUAAAAAUAUUUUAAAUAAUUGUUACCAGAGCUGAAUUACAUUCAGGUGAGUGCACUUAAUAUAAUUUGGGGUAUUGCAGGAAAAAUUAUAAAUUCCUAAAGUGUUUUUUACUUCCUGACAUGUUUAAAAUUAUUAUUCUCUAUGAGGGUUGUUUGAUACUGCAAGUAGUUUAUCAUGUUUAACAUGCGGAUAUGUUAGGAUUAUUUAUUACAAAUCUGUAAUAUUGAGAUACUGCCCUUGGGUUAGCUGGAUUAAAAAUACAGUGAAAUUUGUUAGGUUAGUAACAUUAUACGUACACUGAUUCUAAGUACAGUGGAAUUUACAUUUGGUUAGCUUAGGAUAGCGCCAAUUAAAAAUUCUGUAAAAUCAAUUGAACGGUUGGAUGUUACUAACAUUAUCUAACCAACCAAUAUACAUUUUACAGUGUUUUUUUAGGUUAUUAUCUCACGUUGCUGCUUUUUGUAUGCAAAAUAAACUACUUUUUUUUUAACUUUAAAUAUGUACCUGUAUUUACUCUGAAAAAAGUUUUUCUAAAUUCAGACUGGUUUUUGAGAAAUCACUGUUUAUAGGUUACAUUACAUUACCUGUGCAGUAAAGGGCCUGUAACCAUGUUGUUCUUUAAUUGAGUUGCAGAUCCUGUUGUUUUUCAUACACAAAUUGUAUAUUUUUUAUUUGGAUAUUGCAAUGCAGUAACGUAUAUUAACACUUUAAAAAAGUUAUGUGACUCCUUAUUGUGCAUUCCAAACCCAAAGCAUCAGUCCUUGAGAGCGAUAUUUUUUAGCAGUUGAUAGGUGCAAAAUUCUGAUUUUUUACGUGAGACAACACAUAACCUGACAUAUAAAAUAAAUUUUCAUUUUGUAAUAAAUGAUUCCUUUUAUAACGUCAGGUUACAUGCUAUUGCAGGUAACUAAUCUGCACUUUGCGCCUCCAUACUGCUAUAAAAAAUCCCUGUCAAGGGUUGGCGUUUUGGUUUGGAUAUACAUUAGAGACUCGUAACUUUUUUAAAACUAUUAUUUACGUUUCAUCAGGUUAUAAUAUUCAAAUAUAAAAUAUAUAAAUUCUUAUAUAUAUGGAAAACCACAGGAUCUGCAAUGCAAUUAGAGGGAAAAAUGGCUACAGCUGCUUCACUGCAUAAGCUAUCUAGUGUGCAAAAUGUGAUUUCUUGAAAACCAGUAUAAAUUAAGAAAAGCUGUUUACAGUUUUAAUAGAGGAAGGUUUUUAGUGUCUGAAAAGGUAUUUUCAAAAUUUUAUAAUUUUUUUUAUGGAUAAGCAGCAACAAAAGAAAAUUACCUUUUUUUAAAUUUAGCUAACCAACCAUUCACAUGAUUUUACAAAUUUUGUAUUGUUUAUACUUACCUGCUUUAACAUUAAACUACUGUUAAACAAUUUAUUUCAAUUUUUUAAAAAUAUCUUUGGGAAUUAGCGCAGUAUAAUCGAAGACGUUUACUGUAUUGAUGAUUGAUUUACUUUAUUGAUGCACAACAAAGUUGUAUAAUUGUUAGAUUGGUUAAGCAAAUUCAAGCAUCAAGGGUACUGAUCAAUGGUUUUUAACAUUAUAUUUUCUUAAUGAGUCCAUUGGUAAAAUGUAAAAACACUGGAAUGGCUAAAUUUUCAUCGACUGCUUAUGUUUUUUUCGCAUGCUCACUUGAAAACAAUUACAGGGUUAUACUGUAGUUCACAGUUGCAAUACUUGGUUAGGUUAGUUACAUAAGUGCUGUUAAAUCAUGAAAAUGGUUAGGGAAAGGUAACUUCUUUAUAACUACUGUAAAAUGGUGUAAGCUAUUAUUCUUUAGGUAAGUUUACCUAGACUUUAAAAAUAAUUUAUUUGGCGAAGUACAUAGUACUAAGAAUUACUAUUUAUCAAAUUUGGUUUGUGUGGAAAAGUUGUUACUCUAGGAAAUUUCUGAAUCCAUCUUUGUAGGAAUAUAAACUAAUAUUAUUAGAAACAAAAAAAAACAAUGUGUGGUAUAUUUUAAUUUUCUAACACCCUCUGAACUCUGCAGUUAUGCGAUUACGAUAAUAAUUGUAAAUCAUUGCAAUAUACAUCCAACACAUUUUGUAGUGAUUUCACAACUGUACUAUGAAGUAAUGCCAUCGACUGCUGCAAAAUAACAUGCUGACAUCUUUUCUCGUGUAGGCAUUUUGUUGAUACAACUAAAAUAUGAGCAUAUAGGAUAUAUAUAGAAUCUUACAAAUUUUGGUACCUACUAAUACUCUCCCCAAAGACUUUGGUUUGAAAUUUAAAAAAAAAAAAAAAAAAAAAAAAAAAAAAAAAAAAAAAAAUGAACUGCUCAUGUAACAUGCAUUACGUGAAAUUAAUUCUUUUUGUAAACAUUUUGCUUGAGUCAAAGCCUAGAUUUGCUUAAGCUAAUAACAAGCAAUUACAUCACUUGAGGCCCUGAGAAACAUACUUCUAAAAUUGUGUAGUUACUUGGAUUGUUAAAUACCUAGUUUUUCUGCAAUAAUGGGCACAAGAGCAAUAGAAUUAUGUUUUUCAUAUAAUUUUUUUUCACAUAAAUGAGUUUUUGUCAAAAAGUAUUUGGAAAAAAAUUACUGUUUGAAAGGACAAAGAAAAAUGUUAAUUGUAGUACAUAAAUGAGAAUUUACCAAAAUAUUGAAUGUAUCAAAUUUCUAACUAAAAUGGUUUUGAAAUUAAUUUAUCAUUCUGGUAUGCAUAACUUUUUUCUUUGAUACAUUUAUUUAUCAGUUUCAUUUCUCUUUAGUACAAUAUAAAUCAUUUAACUUUGAUUUCUUUUUUGUUUCAGGCUUGUGGAGAACAGCUUUUUUUUUAUCUACUCUGUGGCUGGCCAAUGUAAAUAAGCAAUGAUUUCAUGAAUGCAGCGAGAGAGUUUAUUUGAUGUAUUUUAAAAUCACUGAUAAUAUUUAUUGAUGUAUUUUAAAAUCACUGAUAAUAUUUAUUGAUGUAUUUUAAAAUUACUGAUAAUAUUUGUUUUGUGGCUGGAAGAUGGUAACCAUGGUGACUUGUGAAUUUUUAUGAAGAUUAAUAAAAAGCAGUAAAAAUUAUUAA